rnacentral:rRNA from 1 species
UGCAAGUCGAGGGGCAGCACGGUGUAGCAAUACACUGGUGGCGACCGGCGCACGGGUGCGUAACGCGUAUGCAACCUACCCAUAACAGGGGGAUAACACUGAGAAAUUGGUACUAAUACCCCAUAACAUCAGGACCGGCAUCGGUUCUGGUUGAAAACUCCGGUGGUACAAGAUGGACCCGCGUCUGAUUAGCUGGUUGGUGAGGUAACGGCUCACCAAGGCAACGAUACAUAGGGGGACUGAGAGGUUAACCCCCACAUUGGUACUGAGACACGGACCAAACUCC